rnacentral:rRNA from 1 species
GUCCGGUCGGAUGACGGUACCCGCAGAAGAAGCACCGGCUAACUACGUGCCAGCAGCCGCGGUAAUACGUAGGGUGCGAGCGUUAAUCGGAAUUACUGGGCGUAAAGGGUGCGCAGGCCGUUCUGUAAGACCGGUGUGAAAUCCCCGGACUCAACCUGGGAAUUGCGCUGGUGACUGCAUGGCUAGAGCACGGUAGAGGGGGGUGGAAUUCCUGGUGUAGCAGCGAAAUGCGUAGAGAUCAGGAGGAACACCGAUGGAGAAGGCAGCCCCCUGGGCCUGUACUGACGCUCAUGCACGAAAGCGUGGGUAGCAUACAGGAUUAGAUACCCUGGUAGUCCACGCCCUAAACGAUGAGAACUAGCCGUCUGGAGUCUUCGUGCUCUGGGUGGCGCAGCUAACGCGUGAAGUUCUCCGCCUGGGGAGUACGGCCGCAGGGUUAAAACUCAAAGGAAUUGACGGGGACCCGCACAAGCGGUGGAUGAUGUGGAUUAAUUCGGUGCAACGCGAAGAACCUUACCUAC